GUCCAUGCUCUAAUAAUCUUUCGCAUUGAUUAUUGUAACUCUCUCCCACAAGUCGUAUUGGCCUGCUACAGUCUGUAAUGAAUGCUGCAGCAAGACUGAUUUUCCUCUCUAGUCGGUCCUCUCACACCUCUCCCCUCUGUCAGUCCUUACAUUGGCUUCCUGUAUCCUAUAGGAGUCAAUUCAAGGUAUUAAUCCAUACCUAUAAAGCAUUGUCUA